CCUAGUUUUAAAUUUAAAAAAUCCCAUUUUAAAAGGCAAAUUGUUCCUCCCCAAACAACAUCAGCUUGAGUAAACUCUUUCUUUUCAAGCUUUGACAAACAUAUAUACCACUUAAACUAGAAAGCAUUCUGUGAAGAAUUGGUUAUAAAGUCAGCAAUUUUAGAUCCAGCCACAGGGGGACAGCAUCCGCAAACACGCCCUGCUUUUUAAGAUGUGUGAGUAAAAUAGGGGAAAGUCUGAUUGGCUGUCUCAAAUGGCAGUCACUCCUUUCUUUUUUCUUUCCAAAAGGCAGUGUAGACCACAGAAACAUGUGUGGGGCUGGAAAAGCUUGUACAAGGGAAACCCUUUAGGAUCAGGCAGAUUCAGCAACUCUUCCUGACGAGGGAGAAGAGGGAAAUGCUGCUCCUGGCACCAGUGUUGAUCUUAUGGAUGCAAAUACCACAAGUGAACGGACAACAGAUAAGUCAAAUUCCUCAAUUCUUGCCUCUACAAGAAGGAGAGAACUUCACCACGUACUGCAAUUCCUCAAGCACUUUAAGCAGCUUACAGUGGUAUAAGCAGAGCCCUGGGGGGAGUCCUGUCCUCUUGAUGAUAUUAGCUAAGGGUGGAGAAGUGAAGACGGAGCAGAGACUGACAGGUCGGCUUGGAGAGACCAGAAAGCAGGGCUCCCUACACCUCACGGCUGCCCAGCUCUCAGAUGUAGGAAUCUACUUCUGUGCGGGGCACAGUGCUCUGGAAGCAUCUGCUGUCUGUCCCCAAACCUCACUGUGGUCUCCAGGGGUCACUCCUCUUCAUUUCUCCUCAGGGCGGGGCCAAAGAAAGCUGAAGUCACGAUAUAUCUAUGAAGAAAUUGAAUUUUUAAUUAAAAAAAAAAAUCCCUGGACUCAGACAGCAUUACUAGAUAAUUCUACCAAUCUUUUGAAGUAUUAGCAUGAAUUAUAGAGAAGGCAAUGGCAACCCACUCCAGUACUCUUGCCUGGAAAAUCCCAUGGACGGAGGAGCCUAGUAGG